GACGAACGCUGGCGGCGUGCUUAACACAUGCAAGUCGAACGGAAAGGCCCUGCUUUUGUGGGGUGCUCGAGUGGCGAACGGGUGAGUAACACGUGAGUAACCUGCCCUUGACUUUGGGAUAACUUCAGGGAACUGGGGCUAAUACCGGAUAGGAGCUCCUGCUGCAUGGUGGGGGUUGGAAAGUUUCGGCGGUUGGGGAUGGACUCGCGGCUUAUCAGCUUGUUGGUGGGGUAGUGGCUUACCAAGGCUUUGACGGGUAGCCGGCCUGAGAGGGUGACCGGCGACAUUGGGACUGAAAUACGGCCCAGACUCCUACGGGAGGCAGCAGUGGGGAAUAUUGCACAAUGGGCGGAAGCCUGAUGCAGCAACGCCGCGUGCGGGAUGACGGCCUUCGGGUUGUAAACCGCUUUCGCCUGUGACGAAGCGUGAGUGACGGUAAUGGGUAAAGAAGCACCGGCUAACUACGUG
rnacentral:rRNA from 1 species